UACGUAGGGUGCGAGCGUUAAUCGGAUUUACUGGGCGUAAAGCGUGCGCAGGCGGCUCGUUAAGACAGGUGUGAAAUCCCUGGGCUCAACCUAGGAAUUGCGCUUGUGACUGUCGAGCUCGAGUACGGUAGAGGGGGGUGGAAUUCCUGGUGUAGCAGUGAAAUGCGUAGAGAUCAGGAGGAACACCGAUGGCGAAGGCAGCCCCCUGGGCCUGAACUGACGCUUAGGCGCGAAAGCGUAGGGAGCAAACA
rnacentral:rRNA from 1 species